rnacentral:rRNA from 1 species
GACGAACGCUGGCGGCGUGCCUAACACAUGCAAGUCGAACGGUCCGGCACUCAACCGACCCUCAGUCUAACUGUAGGGGAAGUUGAGUGCCGGGUAGUGGCGGACGGGUGAGUAACGCGUGGGCAACCAACCCUGUACAGUGGGAUAACACCGGGAAACCGGUGCUAAUACCGCAUGACACCUAUAUGGUGCAUACCGUAUAGGUUAAAGGAUUUAACCGGUACAGGACGGGCCCGCGUCCCAUUAGCUAGUUGGUGAGGUAACGGCCCACCAAGGCGACGAUGGGUAGCCGACCUGAGAGGGUGACCGGCCACACUGGGACUGAGACACGGCCCAGACUCCUACGGGAGGCAGCAGUGGGGAAUAUUGCGCAAUGGGGGGAACCCUGACGCAGCGACGCCGCGUGAGCGACGAAGGCCUUCGGGUCGUAAAGCUCUUUCGGCCGGGAAAAAUACGCAUCAGUUAAUACCUGGUGUGGAUGAUGGUACCGGAAUAAGAAGCACCGGCUAACUACGUGCCAGCAGCCGCGGU